rnacentral:rRNA from 1 species
GUGAACCUGCGGAGGAGCAUAUCAAUAACCGGAGGAAAUCCGUAAGUGAACCGUCUAUGAAUGUAUUAAAUUUUAUAACAAAAUAAAACUUUCAACAACGGAUCUCUUGGCUCUCGCAUCGAUGAAGAACGCAGCGAAAUGCGAUAAGUAAUGUGAAUUGCAGAAUUCAGUGAAUCAUCGAAUCUUUGAACGCACCUUGCGCUCCAUGGUAUUCCGUGGAGCAUGCCUGUUUGAGUGUCAUGAAUACUUCAACCCUCCUCUUUCUUAAUGAUUGAAGAGGUGUUUGGUUUCUGAGCGCUGCUGGCCUUUACGGUCUAGCUCGUUCGUAAUGCAUUAGCAUCCGCAAUCGAACUUCGGAUUGACUUGGCGUAAUAGACUAUUCGCUGAGGAAUUCUAGUCUUCGGACUAGAGCCGGGUUGGGUUAAAGGAAGCUUCUAAUCAGAAUGUCUACAUUUUAAGAUUAGAUCUCAAAUCAGGUAGGACUACCCGCUGAACUUAAGCAUAUCAANAGCCCGAAAGAAAAAGAAUUCCGUAAUGUAAUAUCUGAUGUCCAGCUUAUCUAGGAGUGCAAGCUCUCACUUUCUAACCCUGUGCACUUGUUUGGGAUAGUAACUCUAGCAGAGAGCGAAAUCUAUNCACUUAUAACACAGAGUCUAUGAAGUAUCAAUUUUAUACAAAUAAAACUUUCACACGGACUUGGCUCUGCACGAUAAGAAGCACNNAUGCGAUAGUAAUGUGAAUUGCAGAAUCAUGAAUCACAACUUGAAGACUGCGCUCAGGUAUCUGNAGCAGCUGUUGAGUGUCAGAAACUCACUCCCUNCNAUGAUGAGAGNGUUGGUUCUGAGCGCUG